GACGAACGCUGGCGGCGCGCUUAACACAUGCAAGUCGAGCGAAGCGGCGGCCGGGUGAGUAACACGUGAGUAACCUGCCUUAGACAUUGGGAUAGCCUCGGGAAACCGGGAUUAAUACCAAAUGGUCUAAGUUGGGCUCGCGUCCCAUUCGCUAGUUGGUGAGGUAACGGCCCACCAAGGCGACGAUGGGUAGCCGGCGUGAGAGGGUGAACGGCCACAUUGGAACUGAGAAACAGUCCAAACUCUACGGGAGGCAGCAGGGGGGAAUAUUGCAAAAGGGAGGGAACUAGGAUGCAGCGACGCCGGGUGAACGAAGAAGGCUUUCGAGUCGUAAAGUUCUUUUAUAUGGGAAGCGGUACCAUAAGAAAAAGCCCCGGCUAACUACGUGCCAGCAGCCGCGGUAAUUC
rnacentral:rRNA from 1 species